rfam:Ornithorhynchus anatinus chromosome 2, whole genome shotgun sequence.
UCCCUCCUCAAGAUCGCACCUGGAGAGUUUCCAGUACUCUACCAGUCUUGAUUAUGAGAGGGAGAGUCAAGCAGAGAAAUAGCCAUUCUAUUCCUAGCUUGGGCAGUGGCUAGCGACUGGAAGGCAAUCUGCUACAAGU